rnacentral:rRNA from 1 species
AGACUGGGAUAACUCCGGGAAACCGGGGCUAAUACCGGAUAACAUUUUGAACCGCAUGGUUCGAAAUUGAAAGGCGGCUUCGGCUGUCACUUAUGGGUGGACCCGCGUCGCAUUAGCUAGUUGGUGAGGUAACGGCUCACCAAGGCAACGAUGCGUAGCCGACCUGAGAGGGUGAUCGGCCACACUGGGACUGAGACACGGCCCAGACUCCUACGGGAGGCAG